rnacentral:lncRNA from 1 species
AUUGGCACCCUGAGAGCAGGAUUAUCUGGCUAUGUAGACUCUCUCCUCAGGCCCUACGCUACCAGCACUCCCAGAUAUCUUCGAGACACCACUGACUUCCUGAGGAAACUACAAUCCAUCGGUGAUCUUCCAGAAAAUACCAUCCUAGCCACUAUGGAUGUAGAAGCUCUCUACACGAACAUUCCACGCAAAGAUGGACUACAUGCCGUCAGGAAUAGAGUCCCUGAUACUAUCACGGCAAAUCUGGUGGCUGAACUUUGUGACUUUGUCCUCACCCACAACUAUUUCAGAUUUGGGGACAAUUUAUACCUUCAAGUCAGCGGGACUGCUAUGAGUACCCGCAUGGCCCCACAGUAUGCCAACAUUUUUAUGGCUGACUUAGAACAAUGCUUCCUCAGCUCUCGGCCCCUAACGCCCCUACUCUACUUACGCUACACUGAUGACAUCUUCAUCAUAUGGACCCACAGGAAGGAGGCCCUUGAGGAAUUCCACCAGGAUUUCAACAAUUUCCACCCCACAAUCAACCUCAGCCUGGACCAGUCCACACAAGAAGUCCACUUCCUAGAUACUACGGUGCUAAUAAGCAAUGGUCACAUAAACACCACCCUAUACUGGAAACCUACUGACCACUAUACUUACCUACAUGCCUCCAGCUUUCAUCCAGACCACAUCACACGAUCCAUUGUCUACAGCCAAGCUCUAAGAUACGACUGCAUUUGCUCCCAUUCCUCAGACAGAGACAAACACCUACAGGAUCUCUAUAAAGCAUUCUUAAAACUACAAUACCCACCUGGUGAAGUGAAGAAACAGAUUGACAGAACCAGAAGGGUACCCAGAAGUCACCUACUACAAGACAGGCCCAACAAAGAAAGUAACAGAACGCCACUAGCCGUCACCUACAGCUCCCAACUAAAACCUCUACAGCGCAUCAUCAAGGAUCUACAACCUAUCCUGAAGGACGAUCCCUCACUCUCACAGACCUUGGGAGACAGGCCAGUCCUCGCUUAUAGACAGCCCCCCAACCUGAAGCAAAUACUCACCAGGAACUACACACCACACAACUAAAACACCAACCCAGGAACCAAACCCUGCAACAAAUCAUGGUGCCAACUCUGUCCACAUAGCUAUUCAAGGGACACCAUCAUAGGACCUAACCACAUCAGCCACACCAUCAGGGGCUCGUUCACCUGCACAUCUACCAAUGUGAUAUAUGCCAUCAUG